GCCGGUGGAUUUUUAGCCCUGGUGGGUAGCUUCCCGGAAACGAAAGUCUUCCGGUUCCGGGGGAAGUAUGGUUGCAAAGCUGAAACUUAAAGGAAUUGACGGAAGGGCACCACCAGGAGUGGAGCCUGCGGCUUAAUUUGACUCAACACGGGGAAACUCACCCGGCCCGGACACCGUAAGGAUUGACAGAUUGAUAGCUCUUUCAUGAUUCGGUGGUUGGUGGUGCAUGGCCGUUCUUAGUUCGUGGAUCGAUUUGUCUGGUUUAUUCCGAUAACGAGCGAGACUCUAGCCUACUAAAUAGUAACGAGAUUAUCAAUGUCUCAGUUGCUUCUUAGAGGGAUUUUCGGUGUUUAGCCGCACGAGAUUGAGCAAUAACAGGUCUGUGAUGCCCUUAGAUGUCCGGGGCUGCACGCGCGCUACACUGGCGAAAUCAGCGUGCUGUAUCCAUUCUCGAAAGGGAUUGGUAAACCCAUGAAAAUUUGCCGUGCUUGGGAUCGGAAAUUGCAAUUAUUUUCCGUGAACGAGGAAUUCCAAGUAAGUGCGAGUCAUCAACUCGCUCUGAUUACGUC
rnacentral:rRNA from 1 species